CUCAAUUUCCUGCGCUGUGGUUCAUCCACGUCAUCCAAUUCAAUGACAGCCGUUGGAUCAAAACCUGGUGGUCUGGAUCAUGGUGAGCGAAGUCCAAAUCUCAAUGGUGUGAACUACAAGGCCCAUAUACGUGAGCCCAACAGGCAACAGCCCAUCCUUUCCCUAAGAGAGAAGCAUCCAUCGAUCUCAAUUUUCCUCCCACACCCUAGCCUGUUCGGUCUCUCGGUCUUCCCACGGAACGCGCCGACCGUCGUCGCCUGCGCUCCUCUCGCGCAGCGUCACUGCCCGGCAGGCGCCUCAGCUCCACCCUCUACCCCCAGCCGUUUCCAGCGGAAACGACGCCCGCGUGCCGUCCCCGUCCCUCCUCCUCCCCCGUGCAAGGGAAUCAGCCAGGAGCACCGCCUCGGUCUGUUUCAUCUCUUUGGUUGCCAUGAAGACAUUAACUUUAUGUUCCUGUAACGUAAAGGCAAAAUCAUCAUCGUGCAUAAAAUCUCUCAUGCUUCUGUUUACCUUGCAUCUUCCAUAGCCAUGAGUCGUGCAUCAUCUAUCUCCUUCCGGUUGCAUCUGCAAGCUAACCAGGUGUAAGAAUCAUCCCUAUAUAUGAAAGGUUGUGCUGUUCUAGAGCAUUCGAUAAAUUCAUCACCAGACAAUUAGAUGGAAGGAAUAAAUCGAAGCCGGUCUCUUGCUCUUCAGACUUACAUUUGAUGGAACUAUGGAAGGGCUUUAUUAUCUUACAUGAUCUUGAUCUUGCUGGUAUGUAAAUGUGUGUUUUCUCAAUGUUUAUAGCAACUACAAGGGCCAUCAGCAUUUGGUCUCAUGAAGCUCACUCAUGGAGCCAUGUAUGGAUUGACAUCUGUUUAUCCAAACAAUUCGAGUAAUUAUGGCUUUACCUAAGCAACGUGUUGUCUACCAAAUUAGUGAGGUGCAUUUUUAUUUCCUUCCUGCCAUGUGGUUUAGUUUAUGAACAAUAUAAUUAACUUCCUGUCAACUUAUGGGUGACCAUGUUUUUUUUUUUUUGCGAGCAAAACAUGAAACUUUAUUAAACUGUAGAAUUAGGGUUACAAUCGCGGGCCAGAAGUUCGAAGACACGCUCCAGGGCCUGUAAGUGCCAGACUACAGACUCCUUAGUACGCAACGCUAGAUGAGCGAG